UCAAAAGGGGGUUUUGUUGAGGGGGCAAGUGUUAGAGCCAUCACUGUGGCUCCCUUCGGCGCUGGGACCAAGCUGGAACUCAAACGGGCUGAUGCUAAACCGACAGUCUUCAUCUUCCCACCAUCUUUGGAACAGUUGGGCACAGCAAGUGCUUCUGUAGUGUGCAUAGUGAAUGAGUUCUACCCCAGAGACAUCACCCUGAAGUGGAAGGUGGAUAAUGCCGACCAGACAAAGAACUUCCAGAACAGCUUCACAGAGCAGGACAGCAAGGGUACCUACAGUCUCAGUAGCACAUUGACGAUCCCCUCAACCGAGUACAAAAGCCAUAGUCGCUACUCCUGCGAGGUCACGCAUAAGACCCUGUCCUCGCCUAUCGUCGAGAGCUUCAUCAGGGACGAGUGUUAGAGGGAGGCCUACUGAGGCAUCCAUGUCUGGUCCUCAGUCCCAGCCUCACCCCCUCCCCUCCUUAGGCCUCUGGCCCCUUCCCCACAAAACACCUAUCCCUAUUUCAGCCUUGCAGCUACCCACCCAUCUCGUCCCCCCUUCUCCUCUUCUUUAACUUUAAUCAUACUAAUAUUUGUGGAAAAAGAAUAAAAAUGAAAAUGCCUUGCA